rnacentral:rRNA from 1 species
UACGUAGGGUGCAAGCGUUGGCCGGAAUUAUUGGGCGUAAAGAGCUCGUAGGUGGCCUGUCGCGUCGGCUGUGAAAACUCGGGGCUCAACUCCGAGCUUGCAGUCGAUACGGGCAGGCUAGAGUUCGGCAGGGGAGACUGGAAUUCCUGGUGUAGCGGUGAAAUGCGCAGAUAUCAGGAGGAACACCGGUGGCGAAGGCGGGUCUCUGGGCCGAUACUGACACUGAGGAGCGAAAGCGUGGGGAGCGAACAGG